AGUGAAGCGGCAAAAGCUCAAAUUUGAAAUCUGGCGUCUUCGACGUCCGAGUUGUAAUUUGAAGAAGGCAACUUUGUAGCUGGUCCUUGUCUAUGUUCCUUGGAACAGGACGUCAUAGAGGGUGAGAAUCCCGUGUGGCGAGGAUCCCAGUUAUUUGUAAAGUGCUUUCGACGAGUCGAGUUGUUUGGGAAUGCAGCUCUAAGUGGGUGGUAAAUUCCAUCUAAAGCUAAAUAUUGGCGAGAGACCGAUAGCGAACAAGUACAGUGAUGGAAAGAUGAAAAGAACUUUGAAAAGAGAGUGAAAAAGUACGUGAAAUUGUUGAAAGGGAAGGGCAUUUGAUCAGACAUGGCGUUUGCUUCGGCUUUCGCUGGGCCAGCAUCAGUUUUAGCGGUUGGAUAAAUCCUCGGGAAUGUGGCUCUGCUUCGGUAGAGUGUUAUAGCCCGUGGGAAUACGGCCAGCUGGGACUGAGGAUUGCGACUUUUGUCAAGGAUGCUGGCGUAAUGGUUAAAUGCCGCCCGUCUUGAAACACGGACC
rnacentral:rRNA from 1 species